GUGGGGAAUAUUGCACAAUGGGCGCAAGCCUGAUGCAGCCAUGCCGCGUGUGUGAAGAAGGCCUUCGGGUUGUAAAGCACUUUCAGCGAGGAGGAAGGCCAAUAACUUAAUACGUUGUUGGAUUGACGUUACUCGCAGAAGAAGCACCGGCUAACUCCGUGCCAGCAGCCGCGGUAAUACGGAGGGUGCAAGCGUUAAUCGGAAUUACUGGGCGUAAAGCGCACGCAGGCGGUUUGUUAAGUCAGAUGUGAAAUCCCCGCGCUUAACGUGGGAACUGCAUUUGAAACUGGCAAGCUAGAGUCUUGUAGAGGGGGGUAGAAUUCCAGGUGUAGCGGUGAAAUGCGUAGAGAUCUGGAGGAAUACCGGUGGCGAAGGCGGCCCCCUGGACAAAGACUGACGCUCAGGUGCGAAAGCGUGGGGAGCAAACAGGAUUAGAAACCCCAGUAGUCC
rnacentral:rRNA from 1 species